UCGGACUGGAGUCUGCAACCCGACUCCACGAAGCUGGAUUCGCUAGUAAUCGCGCAUCAGCCAUGGCGCGGUGAAUACGUUCCCGGGCCUUGUACACACCGCCCGUCAAGCCAUGAAAGCCGGGGGUGCCUGAAGUCCGUGACCGCGAGGGUCGGCCUAGGGUAAAACUGGUGAUUGGGGCUAAGUCGUAACAAGGUAUC
rnacentral:rRNA from 1 species